CCUACGGGCGGCUGCAGUGAGGAAUAUUGGUCAAUGGGCGGGAGCCUGAACCAGCCAAGUCGCGUGAGGGAAGAAGGUACUGAGUAUUGUAAACCUCUUUUGCCAGGGGACAAAGGCGGCCACGGGUGGCCGUAAGAGGGUACCUGGAGAAAAAGCAUCGGCUAACUCCGUGCCAGCAGCCGCGGUAAUACGGAGGAUCCGAGCGUUAUCCGGAUUUAUUGGGUUUAAAGGGAGCGUAGGCGGGUUGUUAAGUCAGUUGUGAAAGUUUGCGGCUCAACCGUAAAAUUGCAGUUGAUACUGGCAUCCUUGAGUACAGUAGAGGUAGGCGGAAUUCGUGGUGUAGCGGUGAAAUGCUUAGAUAUCACGAAGAACUCCGAUUGCGAAGGCAGCCUGCUGGACUGUAACUGACGCUGAUGCUCGAAAGUGUGGGUAUCAAACAGGAUUAGAUACCCUUGUAGUC
rnacentral:rRNA from 1 species